GGAAUUCGGAGAUGUCGUUGGAUAGCAGCAGCGAUAGUAGCCGGAGUCCCGGGCCGGACUUUCAUCUUUCCGAUGAAAUACUAUCGGUCAUUCCAACGGACCCUUACGACCAGUUGGAUCUUGCUAGGAAGAUUACUUCCAUGGCUAUAGCGUCUCGUGUUACCAAACUUGAGUCGGAGACGGGGAGACUUCAUCAGAAGCUUAACGACAAGGAUCGGGUCAUUGUGGAGCUUCAGGACAAGGUCUCUCAGCUCGAGAAGGCUUGUCACGAAAACGAAUUGCGGUUGCAAUUUACUUGUGAAGAUAAUAUGAAGCUUACGAAGGAGAGGGAUUCAUUGGCCAUGACAGUAAAGAAAAUGGCUCGAGAUUUAGCAAAGUUGGAGACUUUUAAAAGGCAAUUGGUGCAGUCUUUGAGUGAUGAUGACUCAUCUCAAGCUGAAACUGUAGAUAUUGGCAUUUAUGAUCAAUCUGUUCAUAAGUCAUAUCCUUUAAAAGAGGAGGUGAAUAGCUACACAGUGCAUCAUUCUUUCAGUGGUUCUGUAGACGGAAGAGGAAGUAAUGGUGACGCUUCAAAGCACGCUUUGCAAAGGUUUUCCAGCCCUUACAUAACACCACUGCUUACUCCAAGUGACACACCAAAAAUAGCUUCUGCUAGUGUAUCCCCCAGACGAUGUUCUGCUGCAGUAUCUCCUCGGAGGAUAUCUGGCAGUACCUCUCCAACAAU
rnacentral:misc_RNA from 1 species